AGUCAUCAACCCGCACCGUUUUUGCGACGGGGCUGGGUUGGAGCUGGGGCGUGCUGCCGUGAGGCGGCUCCCCUCAAAUGCUUCGGUCCGACUCGGUCGAACUCGAAAGGGCGUUGUACCAUCCUCGCUCUCCCGAGAGGGGCCUCUUUUGUCGGGCUUGGACCUGCCCUUUGGGUGGCGGUCAAAAAACACUUUUUGAA
rnacentral:misc_RNA from 1 species